rnacentral:RNase_P_RNA from 1 species
AAAGUAAGUUGUCUUAUCGCUUCAUAAAAUAUUAUGAAGAGGAAAGUCCGGACAGUAUAGAGCAUUAUACUUCCUAACUGGAAGGUCUCUUUUUUGAGAACAGAAAGUGCAACAGAAAAUAAACCGCCUAAUUUAGGUAAGGGUGAAAAGGUAAGGUAAAAGCUUACCAGUUUAAUAGUGAUAUUAAAUGUUUUGUAAACCUUAUAAACUGAAAGGUCAAGUAGUUCAAAUGUGAUUUUCACUAAUAGUUGCUCGCUAUUUUUUGAACGGGUAGACUGAUUGAACUUAAUAGCAAUAUUAAGUCUAGAUAAAUGAUAAGAAUUUAAUUUUAAAAAUUAAAUACAGAAUCCGGCUUAUAAACUUACUUUUUGU